rnacentral:lncRNA from 1 species
GAGGUUGCAAAGAUAAAUUGUGACUAUGGAGAGAAGGGUAAAUGAGUGAGAUUGUACAGCAUCAUGUGAAAUAAAACAAAAACAUUAAAAAAUGAUCUGUCUGUAAAAAUAUAGCAAUAAGUUUGCUAGUUCUUUAGUUACAUUUCUAAUCUAAACUUCUUGUUACUUGCUUCGAAUAGUAGAGUAUUGAACAAGUAUCCAGGGAAAGAUAAACAAACCAUUUAAUGAACUGGAACAAGAUAAUUGUGAGGAAAGACAAAGAGCUGUAUUUUUUUUAAAGUAAGACUCAUAAAUAUAUAAAUGAAUUAUUGGUUUGCACUGUGAUUCACUUCACUAACAAAGAACUAUUAAUCUUGCAGAAAAGUGGUUUAGAUGGUGAUAUUAUAGCAUUUCAGCAGAAAUAUACAAAUUCAAUAUAUCACAAACCAUGAUGCAGAACUUAUGUUUUAAUUUUACAUUAUAUCAGAUGUGAAAAUUUAUCAGAAAAUAUAGCUUUUAAAUUGUAGCCUUUAAAAUAUAGAAGCACAUAAAAUAUCAAUCAUCUAAAGAAAUUGAGAAACAAUGCUGGGAAAAUAUUUGAAAAAGUUCCUUAAAAUCCUGAUAAACUAUAUGUACAUGUUUAAGGUUUUACUUCUAAAAAGACCAAAGCUGGUGCUUUAAAAAAUACUGUUAAAAAAUCACUCUGUUUUGGCUUUGCUGAGACAUUGUUGCUUCAAGAUAUUGAUUUUCUAUGCCUCACCCCAAUCACAAAACAUCAAGAGAUACAAUCCUUCCUGAGGCAAAGAUUUAAAUGGAGUGCUGCUUUAAAUCCCUGAGAUAUGGUUCACUAUAAAAUAUCAGUAUUAUAAUAGGAUUUAUAGGUAAUUCUAAACAAGGCAUAGUUUAACAUUCACAUUGAUUAUUUAAUUUAAACCUAGCAAUUACACUGCAAGCUUUUAUUCUGAUUUUUUUUUUCUAUUUUAUAGGUGAACAGACAGAGAUUCAUUUAGGUUAAUGCCUUGUCAAUGACUCAAAGCUCACAAAGGGGGUUGCUUGUGCUUAAACACAAAUCAACUAUUUGAAGAAGCUACUCUCUUAAAAUAUGCAAAUGGAGUAACCUAGAAGCUAUUACAAGGUUCCCACAAAAAGAUUUCAUAUUAUUUUUCUUAUUUUUCAACUUCUAUUAUGGCACUGUUCAGGUCACGGUGUACUCCAGAAUGUGCCUUUGACUUUCAGAAGAGCUUAACUAGGACCUCUCAGGCUGUCAUGACUCACUGUGCAUUCUUGUCAAGAGUCUCUCAAUGAUGUUUCCAGGCUGAAAAAGCAGAAGUAAAACAAAACAAACAAAUCUCUGUCUGAAAAACAGAUUGCCUUUUGUUCACAUUUCUGGUUCAGAGCUCAAAGCAUAAAACUCACAUCUCCAGACCUGGCUGGAGAGAUGGCACAACAGUUAAGAACAAGUACUGCUCUUUCAAAGGAUCCAAGUCCCAGUACCCAUAUGAGACAUCUCACAACCACCCAUGACUCCAGUUCCACAGUAUCCAAUGCCUUCUUCUGACACCAUGGGCACUGCGCUCUCGUGCCCAAAUCCACACUCAGAUAUAGCACACACACAAAAUUAAAAAUAUUUUUUGUGAAAUACAAAUACAAUACAUAUUUCAUAGCUUAUUUAUGGGACUAUAAUCGAUAGCAUUUCAUUUACUUCAGAUAGCCAUUGAAAGUUUAUAAAAUAUUUUCCCAAAAGAGUAUACAGUUGAUAAAAAUUAUAUUAUUCUAUAUAACCUAGCAAACAUUAGGGUGACUCAUACCCCCAAACCAUUAUGUAUCAUCACAAAAGAUAGACUGGGAUAACUGUAAGAGCUCAAAGAAAAAGAUAUAGGCUACAAAACAGUAUUUGACAGACACGACAAAGUAGUUGCACACUAGACUCACAACUUAAGACUUGAUGCACAAAACUUGCACAUCAUUAGUCCAGCCUCAAUCCCAGCAUGGAUGGAGGAGAGGCUCAGAAGUCUCUACUCCUUUCUGAAGACCUAUUGGCAAUUGAUAGCUACUGAGUAAGGGAGAUGCAGUUUUCUUCAGGGAAGCAGAUAUGAGAGGCUAUCUAGACUACAGAAGAUGAUCCCAGACCCAUAUAUACAAGUAGAACACUAAAACAUCUCAGUGGGCAUUAAAGGAAAAGAGGGGGGCACAUGAAGUUGGGAGAGAAAAGUGAUGGGUUAACUGAAAGACUUGGAAGGGAAAUAAUAAGAAAUAUUUUUUAUCAAAACACAUUGUAUGCAUACAUAAAUAUUAAGUAAAAUAUUCUAAAAAUAAAUUACAUAUUAUGUUGAAAUUGUUCUUUGUGGAAUUGAAAAUAUUCAGCUAUUAACAACUUCAAAGCUUGAAAAUAAAUACGGUGAUCAUUACAGAGAUGAAUGUAUCUAAACAUUACAACUUUGUUGACCAAUGUAAAAGAAAAGACUUAAACAUAAACACAAAAUGCAAUGGAAACUUAAACACUGACAAGAUACUUGCUAUAAAAUCAGAAAGAAAUGCUAUCACUGUGAGGAGGAAUGGCUUGUGUAUACAUUAUAUAUGUCUAUUAUGAAAAUGUUACAACAAAUCCAUUUCUUUGUAUGCUAACCAAAGAAAUACAUAAUCUUAUCUCUGGCAUUGUUAUAAAAUUAACUUUCAAAUAGAGAUUCCAAGAUCCCAUUCUCCAAAACUCUGUUAGAAUAACAACAUAAAUACAAUCUAAAAUCAAUUCUCCCUUCACUAAAAUUUUAGCCAUAUUACAAAAUAUAUUUUUAUAAGUAAAGUUUUCUUUCAGGCAUUGCUUUCAAAGAUAAUAAUUUCAAGUGUGGCAAGUUUGGUUUCUCUAUACACGAUGUAUUUGUGAGUGCAGGGACAGAUGCUGUUCUCAUUGCAAUAAUAUCUCAUAAGGGAUGAGUAUUUCUUUUCCAGGUUUCCUACUUAGGCACCCCAUUCAAUGAAACUGUUGAAACAUGAAAACUAUUUUUUAUGAUCAUUUGACAAAAUACAUGAUUAUGACUGUGAUAGAUCUUCAGUCUGAUGAAGCACUAAUUCACUUGUUGAAAAUGAAACAAAAGACAAUUCUUAGGCCAGAAUAAUGUUGCAUUUGACACUUAUUUCUUGCUGUGUGAGCAAAAUGUAAUGCAUACAAAGUGGGCACUCAAUGCCUGUCCAGGAUUUAAUUGCACUGAAAAAAGAGG